AUUGAACGCUGGCGGCAUGCUUUACACAUGCAAGUCGGACGAGUGGCGAACGGGUGAGUAACAUAUCGGCACGUACCGAGUAAUGGGGGAUAACUAAUCGAACGAUUAGCUAAUACCGCAUAUUAUUCGAGCGGCCGAUAUCUGAUUAGCUAGUUGGUGGGGUAAAGGCCUACCAAGGCGACGAUCAGUAGCGGGUCUGAGAGGAUGAUCCGCCACGCUGGGACUGAGACACGGCCCAGAUUCCGACGGGAGGCAGCAGUGGGGAAUUUUGGACAAUGGGCGAAAGCCUGAUCCAGCCAUGCCGCGUGUCUGAAGAAGGCCUUCGGGGUGUAAAGGACGUUUGUCAGGGAAGCGGUACCUGAAGAAUAAGCACCGGCUAACUACGUGCCAGCAGCCGCGGUAAUAC
rnacentral:rRNA from 1 species